AAUGCACUUUUCUUUGUGCAUUCACACGAUGCAUUUUCUUUUCUUAUCACCAAACUGUUUUGAAAGAUAAAAGUACUUCCUGAAUAUGUGGAUGGUGAGCCACGUGAAUGGAAGACAUGGAGAUAUGGACUGUUAACACCUUGUCAAACAUUUAUUGUCCCUUCCACCUCUAAACUUCUGUGAUAAUAGGUGAACAGGACCCACGUGGUGCAGAAUACUGCGAUACACACUGCGGAAUAAUUCAGAAGAAAGAGACAUUAUACAAAUGCAAGCUGUUGUCACAACAAUGAUAAGAAAUCAGGAGUCGAAAGAUGUGGAGUAAGGGGGAAUUUCAGAGAAACCACAAAACACAAAAUAGGAAACAGAGACAGGAGAAGAUUGCUAUGACAAAAUUGCAGAAGGUGAAAUCUUUGGCAGCCUCUUAUUUCUCUGGAGAAUAUGAUAUUGUCAGGCUGAGGUGGAAGAAUCACAUGGUCAUACUCUCCAUCAAAACUUAUAAAAUCUUGGGAAGAGGAACUGUGGCCCAUCACUGAUCAUUUCAUCUAUUAAGUGACCACUUAUUGUCUUAUAAUAGGAGAUGUUCUGGAAACAUGCAUUGAAUCGAAGUGGCUUUGAGGAAGCAUGAAGAGAAAACAGGAUGGCAUCCUUUUGGCACCAUUUCUUAUGCUAUAAUAAGGAUUCCUUCUGUUUACACAUAAAACAGAAGAGUUUAAUCACCCCAGCAAUCUUUAACUUGGUAAUGAAGGCCAUAAAUUAAAUUUUAAGCAAAGUUAAAGAAGAUGAGAUGAAAUAUAAAACAAAAACAUCAUCAGAAUCUGCCCAGGAACAAUAUUCUUGACACCAAACCAUGACAUUAUGGGGCUCAGUUGUUUGUUUCUAGGGCAGCCCCUUGUUUUAUGUGCCAAAUAGCAUUUCCCUAAAUAAAACUGCAUGGAACAAAA
rnacentral:lncRNA from 1 species